AGCACCCCAUAUUGUGGCCGCAGGAGCUCCCGAAAGUUGACCAGCAAAAGCACCAAACGCCCUGGAACUAUUUUGGGCAUAGGACCAUGUGUGCGGCCGGUCAGAACUUUAACAUGGUGGCAUUUGCCCUUCACUGCAUGGAUCUGAGCGCUAUUUGGAAAACUUGGGCGCUCAGAUCAGGGCUGUUUGUGGAUGUAUUAUUU